UACGUAGGGUGCGAGCGUUAAUCGGAAUUACUGGGCGUAAAGCGUGCGCAGGCGGUGAUGUAAGACAGGUGUGAAAUCCCCGGGCUUAACCUGGGAACUGCAUUUGUGACUGCAUCGCUGGAGUGCGGCAGAGGGGGAUGGAAUUCCGCGUGUAGCAGUGAAAUGCGUAGAGAUGCGGAGGAACACCGAUGGCGAAGGCAGCCCCCUGGGCUAACACUGACGCUCAGGCACGAAAGCGUGGGGAGCAAACAGG
rnacentral:rRNA from 1 species